GAAUUGACUAGGUGUGGGCCGCCGAGAGGAGAGUGAGUUGCGGACUGAGACAGACGGAGAACUUCAAACUGACAGGUGAAGGAGGCUAUUCCUCAUCCGGUGAUCGGACCGCUGCAUGAUUUGAUACCAGGGGACUGGAUUGUGGUGAAGGACCUGAAACGCAAGUCCUGGAGGAACCCAAGGUGGACGGGGCCAUACCAGAUUCUCCUGACGACCAAUUCGGCGGUUAAGAUCGAGGGAAGAGCAACGUGGAUACACGCUAACCAUUGUAAGCGUGCACCUUGUCUGGAGACGGAAGCAGAGGAUACGCGUUCUGCGUAGUACCAAGGAAAUUUCCGAGCUGUACGCAAAGUGCAGUGUCGUUGAAAGUUGCCCUGAGCAAUUUGAUCGUCGUUUGCAAUCGGUUCGACUAAACUACACCGCCUGAAAGAAGUUUGCCUACAGCCAACUGGAGAUGGUCACUACGGAUGCACGACCAUGGCAUCCGUUCCGACAACCUGGACUUUGUGGUAUACAGGAUGGUUGAAAAGACAAUGGCUAAAUCGUUUGCAGUUCAAAUGAUGAACUAUAGUCCCUCAGAGGAUUAUGAUUGGGUUCCGCCAUUUGAGGAUGAAGAGGCUAAUAUGUGCGAUAUGUGAUUUCUAAUGUUCUUUUGGAGGAUAUUUUGAUUAAAGGGGUUACGGUUAUUUUCUUAUCUGUACAUGUUCAGUGUGGAUGUUUUUAUUGAGUUAGUUGCAUGCUUAUGUUAAUGUUUGAAUUGUAUUUUUCUUAAUUAACUGUUUGGGUUUAUGGUAUUGUAAAAAAAAAAAAAAAAUGGAAUUGUGGUGGAAAUUUGGAAUACAGUUAUAAUGUGUGUGUUUUAUAUAUGAGGAAUGUGUU